UACGGGGGGGGCAAGCGUUGUUCGGAAUUACUGGGCGUAAAGGGCGCGUAGGCGGUUGGAUAAGUCAGCUGUGAAAACCACGAGCUCAACUUGUGGCCUGCAGUUGAAACUGUCUGGCUAGAGUGUGGGAGAGGGAAGUGGAAUUCCUGGUGUAGCGGUGAAAUGCGUAGAUAUCAGGAGGAACACCGGUGGCGAAGGCGGCUUCCUGGACCACAACUGACGCUGAGGCGCGAAGGCGUGGGGAGCGAACGGG
rnacentral:rRNA from 1 species